rnacentral:miRNA from 1 species
GGAGGUAGUUCGUUGCGUGUU